ACCUAUGAUCAAGUCACCUGGAAUACACCCGAUCUCAUCAGAUCUCGGAAGCUAAACAAGUUGGAGCCUGGAACAUGCUUGGAUGGGUGACCACCAUCGCUAUGCACGUGGCUACCUGGAUU
rnacentral:rRNA from 1 species